rnacentral:rRNA from 1 species
GAUGAACGCUGGCGGCGUGCCUAAUACAUGCAAGUCGAGCGAACAGACGAGGAGCUUGCUCCUCUGACGUUAGCGGCGGACGGGUGAGUAACACGUGGAUAACCUACCUAUAAGACUUGGAUAACUUCGGGAAACCGGAGCUAAUACCGGAUAAUAUAUGGAACCGCAUGGUUCAAUAGUGAAAGACGGGUUUGCUGUUACUUAUAGAUGGAUCCGCGCCGCAUUAGCUAGUUUGUAAGGUAACGGCUUACCAAGGCAACGAUGCGUAGCCGACCUGAGAGGGUGAUCGGCCACACGGGAACUGAGACACGGUCCAGACUCCUACGGGAGGCAGCAGUCGGGAAUCUUCCGCAAUGGGCGAAAGCCUGACGGAGCAACGCCGCGUGAGUGAUGAAGGUCUUCGGAUCGUAAAACUCUGUUAUUAGGGAAGAACAAAUGUGUAAGUAACUAUGCACGUCUUGACGGUACCUAAUCAGAAAGCCACGGCUAACUACGUG